rnacentral:rRNA from 1 species
UACGAAGGGGGCUAGCGUUGCUCGGAAUGACUGGGCGUAAAGGGCGCGUAGGCGGAUUGGCCAGUCGGGCGUGAAAUUCCUGGGCUUAACCUGGGGGCUGCGUUCGAGACGGUUGGUCUAGAGUUUGGCAGAGGGUCGUGGAAUUCCCAGUGUAGAGGUGAAAUUCGUAGAUAUUGGGAAGAACACCGGUGGCGAAGGCGGCGACCUGGGCCUUGACUGACGCUGAGGCGCGAAAGCGUGGGGAGCAAACAGG